rnacentral:rRNA from 1 species
AUUGAACGCUGGCGGCACGCCUUACACAUGCAAGUCGAACGGCAGCGGGGGAGAAGCUUGCUUUUCCUGCCGGCGAGUGGCGAACGGGUGAGUAAUACAUCGGAACGUGCCCUGUAGUGGGGGAUAACUAGUCGAAAGAUUAGCUAAUACCGCAUACGACCUGAGGGUGCAAGUGGGGGACCGCAAGGCCUCAUGCUAUAGGAGCGGCCGAUGUCUGAUUAGCUAGUUGGUGGGGUAAAGGCCUACCAAGGCGACGAUCAGUAGCUGGUCUGAGAGGACGAUCAGCCACACUGGGACUGAGACACGGCCCAGACUCCUACGGGAGGCAGCAGUGGGGAAUUUUGGACAAUGGGCGAAAGCCUGAUCCAGCAAUGCCGCGUGUGUGAAGAAGGCCUUCGGGUUGUAAAGCACUUUUGUCCGGAAAGAAAUGGCUCUGGUUAAUACCUGGGGUCGAUGACGGUACCGGAAGAAUAAGGACCGGCUAACUACGUGCCAGCCGCCGCAGUAA